rnacentral:rRNA from 1 species
UACAGAGGUCUCAAGCGUUGUUCGGAUUCAUUGGGCGUAAAGGGUGCGUAGGCGGCGCGGUAAGUCGGGUGUGAAAUCUCGGGGCUUAACUCCGAAACUGCAUUCGAUACUGCCGUGCUUGAGGACUGGAGAGGAGACUGGAAUUUACGGUGUAGCGGUGAAAUGCGUAGAUAUCGUAAGGAAGACCAGUGGCGAAGGCGGGUCUCUGGACAGUUCCUGACGCUGAGGCACGAAGGUCAGGGGGAGCAAACAGGG